rnacentral:rRNA from 1 species
ACGGAAGGCAGCAGUGGGGGAUAUUGCACAAUGGGGGGAACCCUGAUGCAGCGACGCCGCGUGAGCGAAGAAGUGCUUCGGCAUGUAAAGCUCUAUCAGCAGGGAAGAAGAUGACGGUACCUGACUAAGAAGCCCCGGCUAACUACGUGCCAGCAGCCGCGGUAAUACGUAGGGGGCAAGCGUUAUCCGGAUUUACUGGGUGUAAAGGGAGCGUAGACGGCCAAGCAAGUCUGAUGUGAAAACCCGGGGCUCAACCGCGGGAUUGCAUUGGAAACUGUUAGGCUGGAGUACUGGAGGGGCAGGCGGAAUUCCUGGUGUAGCGGUGGAAUGCGUAGAUAUCAGGAAGAACACCGGUGGCGAAGGCGGCCUGCUGGACAGUAACUGACGUUGAGGCUCGAAAGCGUGGGGAGCAAACAGGAUUAGAUACCCUGGUA